rnacentral:rRNA from 1 species
CGGACGGGUGAGUAACGCGUGGAAAACCUGCCGUAUACUGGGGGAUAACACUUAGAAAUAGGUGCUAAUACCGCAUAAGCGCACAGCUUCGCAUGAAGCGGUGUGAAAACUCUGGUGGUAUACGAUGGUUCCGCGUCUGAUUAGCUAGUUGGUGGGGUAAUGGCCUACCAAGGCAACGAUCAGUAGCCGGCCUGAGAGGGUGAACGGCCACAUUGGACUGAGACACGGCCCAAACUCCUACGGGAGGCAGCAG